rnacentral:rRNA from 1 species
UACGGGGGGAGCAAGCGUUGUUCGGAUUUACUGGGCGUAAAGGGCGCGUAGGCGGUCGUGACAAGUCACUUGUGAAAUCUCCGGGCUUAACUCGGAAAGGUCAAGUGAUACUGUCGGACUAGAGUGCAGAAGGGGCAACUGGAAUUCUCGGUGUAGCGGUGAAAUGCGUAGAUAUCGAGAGGAACACCUGCGGCGAAGGCGGGUUGCUGGGCUGACACGUGACGCUGAGGCGCGAAAGCCAGGGGAGCGAACAGG